GACGAACGCUGGCGGCGUGCCUAAUACAUGCAAGUCGAGCGGGCCUCCGGAGGUGCUUGCACCUCCGGAAGGCCAGCGGCGGACGGGUGAGUAACACGUGGGCAACCUGCCUUUGAGGCCGGGAUAACACCGGGAAACCGGUGCUAAUACCGGAUACGUCCUCUUUCGCGCCUGCGAGAGGGGAGAAAGACGGUCUUUAAGGCCGUCGCUCAAAGAGGGGCCCGCGGCGCAUUAGCAGGUUGGUGGGGGAAGGGCCUACCAAGGCGACGAUGCGUUGCCGACCUGAGAGGGUGAUCGGCCACACUGGGACUGAGACACGGCCCAGACUCCUGCGGGAGGCAGCAGUAGGGAAUCAUCCGCAAUGGGCGAAAGCCUGACGGUGCAACGCCGCGUGAGUGAGGAAGGUUUUCGGAUCGUAAAGCUCUGUUGUGAGGGAAGAACAGCUUCCGGAGGAAAUGCCGGAGGUUUGCCGGUACCUCACCAGAAAGCCCCGGCUAACUACGUGCCAGCCGCCGCCGUAA
rnacentral:rRNA from 1 species